AGUUUGAUCAUGGCUCAGAUUGAACGCUGGCGGCAGGCCUAACACAUGCAAGUCGAGCGGUAGCACAGAGAGCUUGCUCUCGGGUGACGAGCGGCGGACGGGUGAGUAAUGUCUGGGAAACUGCCUGAUGGAGGGGGAUAACUACUGGAAACGGUAGCUAAUACCGCAUAAUGUCGCAAGACCAAAGUGGGGGACCUUCGGGCCUCAUGCCAUCAGAUGUGCCCAGAUGGGAUUAGCUAGUAGGUGGGGUAACGGCUCACCUAGGCGACGAUCCCUAGCUGGUCUGAGAGGAUGACCAGCCACACUGGAACUGAGACACGGUCCAGACUCCUACGGGAGGCAGCAGUGGGGAAUAUUGCACAAUGGGCGCAAGCCUGAUGCAGCCAUGCCGCGUGUGUGAAGAAGGCCUUCGGGUUGUAAAGCACUUUCAGCGGGGAGGAAGGCGUUAAGGUUAAUAACCUUGGCGAUUGACGUUACCCGCAGAAGAAGCACCGGCUAACUCC
rnacentral:rRNA from 1 species